rnacentral:rRNA from 1 species
AAUCAACGCUGGCGGCGUGCCUCAGACAUGCAAGUCGAACGAUUAAAGCUCUCUUCGGAGAGUGUAUAGAGUGGCGCACGGGUGAGUAACACGUAAGUAAUCUACCCUCGAGUGGGGAAUAACGUCCGGAAACGGACGCUAAUACCGCAUAAUGCAGCGGCACCGCAAGGUGACAGUUGUUAAAGAUUUAUCGCUUGAGGAGGAGCUUGCGGCAGAUUAGCUAGUUGGUAAGGUAAUGGCUUACCAAGGCUACGAUCUGUAACCGGUCUAAGAGGACGGUCGGUCACACUGACACUGAAUAACGGGUCAGACUCCUACGGGAGGCAGCAGUCGGGAAUUUGGCAAUGGGCGAAAGCCUCGACCCAGCAACGCCGCGUGAAGGAAUGAAGUAUUUCGGUAUAGUAAACUUACGAAAGAAUAGG